rnacentral:rRNA from 1 species
AUGGAUUUGGGUACAUUUGGAAGGAAAGUUCAGAAGAAGUUCAAGCUCAAUCCAGUAAGAAUGAAGCUUGGCAGGGCUAGGAAUGCAACACUUAAGAUCAUACAUGAAGAUGAGAAAGCACAAUAUAGUAUGCCGUCGGACUAUGGACAAGAAUUGAGGAGAAGCAAUCCAUGGAGGAAAUUCAUUGUUUGCACAACCAAGGUCAAGAAAAAGGACGACCUGCUUCCAAAGGAUCGCCUAUCUUCAUUGUAUUGGUCCUAUUAUGCCUGCAAGAGAGGUUUCUUGAGUGAGUGCAUGCCAAUUAUUUUUGUUGAUGGGUGUCACCUCAAGAGCAAAUACAAAUAUGUGUUGCUUACAGCUGUUGGGAUUGACCCCAAUGAUUGCAUAUUCCCAAUUGCAAUGGGGAUGGUGUAG